UCGUUAGCUCAGCCGGUAGAGCAGCUGGCUUUUAACCAGUUGGUCAUUGGUUCGAAUCCAAUACG
rnacentral:tRNA from 1 species